rnacentral:rRNA from 1 species
GUCUUUUUGAAAUAAAUUUAAAGUCUGACCUGCCCACUGAUAUAAUUAAAGGGCCGCGGUAUUUUGACCGUGCAAAGGUAGCAUAAUCAUUAGUUUUUUAAUUGAAAGCUUGUAUGAAUGGUUGGACGAAAUAUUUACUGUCUCAUAAAAAUUUAUAUUAGAAAUUAAUUUUUUUGUUAAAAAGCAAAAAUAAUUUUAGAGGACGAGAAGACCCUAUAGAGCUUUAUAAUUUUAUUAUUUAAUUUUUUAAGAAAAUUUUGAAUUUUAUAAGAAUAAUUAUUUUGUUGGGGUGACAGUAAAAUUUAUAAAACUUUUAUUAUAUUAUUACAUUGAUUAAUGAAUAUUUGAUCCAUUAUUANUGAUUAAAAAAUUAAGUUACCUUAGGGAUAACAGCGUAAUUUUUUUUAAGAGUUCAUAUCGACAAAAAAGAUUGCGACCUCGAUGUUGGAUUAAGAAUUAUUUUUAGGUGUAGAAGUUUAAAGUUUAGGUCUGUUCGACCUUUGAAUUCUU